rnacentral:rRNA from 1 species
UCGGGAAUUUUGGGCAAUGGGGGAAACCCUGACCCAGCAACGCCGCGUGAAGGAUGAAGUAUUUCGGUAUGUAAACUUCGAAAGAAUAGGAAGAAUAAAUGACGGUACUAUUUAUAAGGUCCGGCUAACUACGUGCCAGCAGCCGCGGUAAUACGUAGGGACCAAGCGUUGUUCGGAUUUACUGGGCGUAAAGGGCGCGUAGGCGGCAUGACAAGUCACUUGUGAAAUCUCUGGGCUUUAACCCAGAACGGCCAAGUGAUACUGUCGCGCUAGAGUGCAGAAGGGGCAAUCGGAAUUCUUGGUGUAGCGGUGAAAUGCGUAGAUAUCAAGNGGAACACCUGAGGUGAAGACGGGUUGCUGGGCUGACACUGACGCUGAGGCGCGAAAGCC